AUCAACGCUGGCGGCGUGCCUAACACAUGCAAGUCGAACGCGAGGGUCCCGCAAGGGACUAGUAGAGUGGCAAACGGGUGAGUAACACGUGGGUGACCUGCCUUCGAGUGGGGGAGUAACGUCCCGAAACGGGACGGCUAAUACCGCAUGACAUCCUGCUUUUUAACUAGGCGGAGAUCAAAGCUGGGGAGUCGCAAGACCUAGCGCUUGGAGAGGGGCCCGCGUCCGAUUAGCAGUUGGUGAGGUAACGGCUCACCAAGGCGACGAUCGGUAGCCGGCCUGAGAGGGCGGACGGCCACACUGGGA
rnacentral:rRNA from 1 species